UACGGAGGGUGCAAGCGUUAUCCGGAUUCACUGGGUUUAAAGGGUGCGUAGGCGGGCAGGUAAGUCAGUGGUGAAAUCCUAGAGCUUAACUCUAGAACUGCCAUUGAUACUAUCUGUCUUGAAUAUUGUGGAGGUAAGCGGAAUAUGUCAUGUAGCGGUGAAAUGCUUAGAUAUGACAUAGAACACCUAUUGCGAAGGCAGCUUACUACGCAUAUAUUGACGCUGGAGGCACGAAAAGCGUGGGGAUCAAAACAGG
rnacentral:rRNA from 1 species